GAAGUCUGAUGGAGCAACGCCGCGUGAGUGAUGAAGGUUUUCGGAUCGUAAAACUCUGUUGUAAGGGAAGAACCAGUACGUCAGGCAAUGGACGUACCUUGACGGUACCUUAUUAGAAAGCCACGGCUAACUACGUGCCAGCAGCCGCGGUAAUACGUAGGUGGCAAGCGUUGUCCGGAUUUACUGGGCGUAAAGGAUGCGUAGGCGGAUAUUUAAGUCAGAUGUGAAAUACCCGGGCUCAACUUGGGUGCUGCAUUUGAAACUGGAUAUCUAGAGUGCGGGAGAGGUAAGUGGAAUUCCUAGUGUAGCGGUGAAAUGCGUAGAGAUUAGGAAGAACACCAGUGGCGAAGGCGACUUACUGGACCGUAACUGACGCUGAGGCAUGAAAGCGUGGGGAGCAAACA
rnacentral:rRNA from 1 species